rnacentral:rRNA from 1 species
AGAGUUUGAUCAUGGCUCAGAACGAACGCUGGCGGCAGGCUUAACACAUGCAAGUCGAACGCGUGUAGCAAUACACGAGUGGCGCACGGGUGAGUAACGCGUGGAUAUCUGCCUUUUGGUUCGGAAUAACCCCGGGAAACUGGGGCUAAUACCGGAUGGUUCCUACGGGAUAAAGAUUUAUCGCCAAAAGAUGAGUCCGCGUACGAUUAGCUAGUUGGUGAGGUAAUGGCUCACCAAGGCGACGAUCGUUAGCUGGUCUGAGAGGACGAUCAGCCACACUGGGACUGAGACACGGCCCAGACUCCUACGGGAGGCAGCAGUGGGGAAUAUUGGACAAUGGGGGCAACCCUGAUCCAGCCAUGCCGCGUGAGUGAUGAAGGCCUUCGGGUUGUAAAGCUCUUUUGGCGGGGACGAUGAUGACGGUACCCGCAGAAUAAGCCCCGGCUAACUUCGUGCCAGCAGCCGCGGUAAGACGAAGGGGGCUAGCGUUGUUCGGAAUUACUGGGCGUAAAGCGAGUGUAGGCGGUUGCCGUAGUCAGGUGUGAAAGCCUUGAGCUCAACUCAAGAAAUGCACUUGAUACUGGGUGACUAGAGGACCGGAGAGGAUAGUGGAAUUCCCAGUGUAGUGGUGAAAUACGUAGAGAUUGGGAAGAACACCAGUGGCGAAGGCGGCUAUCUGGACGGUUACUGACGCUAAGACUCGAAAGCGUGGGGAGCAAACAGGAUUAGAUACCCCGGUAGUCCAA